CAGGGUCACAUACAUUUAAAUGUUUGGUGAAUACAGCAAGUUUAAAGGACAUAAGAUACAAGGGAGGAUCCAAGAAGACAACUUAAAGAAAAAGUCAGAUACAACGGGACCAUGGAAAUAGAGUGGACAUGUACCUUUGGAGGGAGAGGAGCAAUCAGAUGUGGGAUGAUAAGUUUGCAAACUGUCGCAAUACAGUGUCUGUAUAUUCUGAAGAUCACACGGAAAACAGCCGAGCCGUGAUUUAUCUGGUGUUGGUAUCAGGAAGAUAAGACAAAGUUUGUGACAAAUUUAUAUUGCUAAAGAAUCACAUUGCA